rnacentral:rRNA from 1 species
UACGGAGGAUCCGAGCGUUAUCCGGAUUUAUUGGGUUUAAAGGGUGCGCAGGCGGGGGAUUAAGUCGGCGGUGAAAUUUUGCAGCUCAACUGUAAAAGUGCCUUCGAAACUGGUUUCCUUGAGUGUGGAUGAAGUAGGCGGAAUUUGUGGUGUAGCGGUGAAAUGCAUAGAUAUCACGAGGAACUCCGAUUGCGCAGGCAGCUUACUAAACCAUAACUGACGCUCAGGCACGAAGGCGUGGGGAUCAAACAGGAUUAGAUACCCGUGUAGUCCCU